AAUACUGCAAGUCGAACGAGUUCUGAUUAUUGAAAGGUGCUUGCAUCUUGAUUUAAUUUUGAACGAGUGGCGGACGGGUGAGUAACACGUGGGUAACCUGCCCUUAAGUGGGGGAUAACAUUUGGAAACAGAUGCUAAUACCGCAUAAAUCCAAGAACCGCAUGGUUCUUGGCUGAAAGAUGGCGUAAGCUAUCGCUUUUGGAUGGACCCGCGGCGUAUUAGCUAGUUGGUGAGGUAACGGCUCACCAAGGCAAUGAUACGUAGCCGAACUGAGAGGUUGAUCGGCCACAUUGGGACUGAGACACGGCCCAAACUCCUACGGGAGGCAGCAGUAGGGAAUCUUCCACAAUGGACGCAAGUCUGAUGGAGCAACGCCGCGUGAGUGAAGAAGGCUUUCGGGUCGUAAAACUCUGUUGUUGGAGAAGAAUGGUCGGCAGAGUAACUGUUGUCGGCGUGACGGUAUCCAACCAGAAAGCCACGGCUAACUACGUGCCAGCAGCCGCGGUAAUACGUAGGUGGCAAGCGUUAUCCGGAUUUAUUGGGCGUAAAGCGAGCGCAGGCGGUUUUUUAAGUCUGAUGUGAAAGCCCUCGGCUUAACCGAGGAAGUGCAUCGGAAACUGGGAAACUUGAGUGCAGAAGAGGACAGUGGAACUCCAUGUGUAGCGGUGAAAUGCGUAGAUAUAUGGAAGAACACCAGUGGCGAAGGCGGCUGUCUGGUCUGUAACUGACGCUGAGGCUCGAAAGCAUGGGUAGCGAACAGGAUUAGAUACCCUGGUAGUCCAUGCCGUAAACGAUGAAUGCUAGGUGUUGGAGGGUUUCCGCCCUUCAGUGCCGCAGCUAACGCAUUAAGCAUUCCGCCUGGGGAGUACGACCGCAAGGUUGAAACUCAAAGGAAUUGACGGGGGCCCGCACAAGCGGUGGAGCAUGUGGUUUAAUUCGAAGCAACGCGAAGAACCUUACCAGGUCUUGACAUCUUUUGAUCCCUGAGAGAUCAGGUUUCCCCUUCGGGGGCAAAAUGACAGGUGGU
rnacentral:rRNA from 1 species